CCUCUUCCUGCUUUUCUCAGUUCUCCGUUCUGCUUUUCCCUGCUCCCGCGUUACUCAUGUUGGAUUUACAUUUCUGUUUUAUGUAUAGAUGCAGUUGCACCUGUGCAGUCUGAGUCACACAGUUCCAGUUUGUUUUUAACCGUAUCUGUUUGUGGACUUUGCUCUUUACUCGAUUUCUUUCUUCCUGCGUGUUUCCUGUUUGUGUCUCACUGCUUCCCUCACAUCUCCCUCAGCAGCCUUUUCCUGCAUUACUUCUUAACAAAAGUUUCAUUUCUUGGUCAUGGAUGAUUUCGUAAGAAACAAACUGGUUGAAUGGGGGCUAAGUGAGUGGGUGGAAAAAUUUAAAGAUGAACAAAUUGAUGCGGAAAGUCUGUAUGAGCUUGAUGAUCGAGAAAUUGAUAAUUUGAUCCCAAAAGCUGGACCAAGAGUGAAAUUCAAGAAGAACCUCAAGCUGUUAAAGG